rnacentral:rRNA from 1 species
AUUGAACGCUGGCGGCAGGCCUAACACAUGCAAGUCGAACGAGUGGCGGACGGGUGAGUAAUGUCUGGGAAACUGCCCGAUGGAGGGGGAUAACUACUGGAAACGGUAGCUAAUACCGCAUACCAUCGGAUGUGCCCAGAUGGGAUUAGCUUGUAGGUGAGGUAACGGCUCACAUAGGCGACGAUCCCUCGCUGGUCUGAGAGGAGGACCAGACACGCUGGAACUGAGACACGGUCCAGACUCCGACGGGAGGCAGCAGUGGGGAAUAUUGCGCAAUGGGCGCAAGUCUGAUGCAGCCAUGCCGCGUGUAUGAAGAAGGCCUUCGUGUUGUAAAGUACUUUCAGCGGGGAGGCGUUACCUGAAGAAGAAGCACCGGCUAACUCCGUGCCAGCAGCCGCGGUAAUUC